rnacentral:rRNA from 1 species
GCCCGCUCAGAAACUCAAAGGAAGUUGACGGGGGCCCGCGACAAGCGGUGGAGCAUGUGGUUUAAUUCGAUGCAACGCGAAGAACCUUACCUGGUCUUGACAUCCCGGAGACCCUUAGGAAACUAGGGGGUGCUUCCAUCUGGAAGAAUCUGGAGACAGGUGCUGCAUGGCUGUCGUCAGCUCGUGUCGUGAGAUGUUGGGUUAAGUCCCGCAACGAGCGCAACCCUUGCCUUUAGCUGCCAGCAGUUCGGCUGGGCACUCUAAAGGGACUGCCGGUGUUAAACCGGAGGAAGGUGGGGAUGACGUCAAGUCCUCAUGGCCUUUAUGACCAGGGCUACACACGUACUACAAUGGCCGAUACAAAGGGCAGCGACACUGCGAGGUGAAGCCAAUCCCGUAAAAUCGGUCUCAGUCCGGAUUGGAGUCUGCAACUCGACUCCAUGAAGUUGGAAUCGCUAGUAAUCGUGGAUCAGCAUGCCACGGUGAAUACGUUCCCGGGCCUU